GGAAUUUAUUUAACUUAUUGUUAUAUUUGCUCAGUUGUGUUAUUUUUGAUUUUUAAUUGUUAAUUAUAAUUCAUAUAGACGUGUACUCUCUUAGAUCUACGUCAGAACUAUUUAUUUUUAAAAUUAUAGUAUUUUAAAUGUAUAGCGGAGUUUCGUGCCAAGAAUUUAAGAACAUUAAAGCGAAUAAAAGAACUCGUUUUGCUGUGCCAAGAAAUCACCGUUGAUUUUUUCAAGUUUUGUAGAAAUUAUAUGCCGCAAUCUUUAUAUUAAUCUAAAUUUACAGAAGAAAAUUUUAUUUUAUAUAAAAGAUAUCUUUUAUUUAUAUGUAUGUACAGUAUUUGCUAUACGGUAUCGCAAUUUAAUCCGUAAAAGUUUCUUUAACUCUAUUUUCGCGAAUCGUGUUAUACGUGUUCAGAAUUCUUGCUUCGAACACGGCCAUAUUUGUGUGCCUAUGUAGAUAUAUUAGCAUGUAAUUAUAUAAUAAUUACAUGCAAGAAUGCAUUUGCUAUUAUUUCUAUACAAAAAAUGCGUAGAAAUUGGAAGCUGCGUUGUUACCGAUUAAUCAAUCUCCUAUCGAUAUGUAUGUAGCAUUGUUAAUAGUACAAUGUAUUUAAUAAUAAAUUGUAAUUAAAAUAUUUAUGAUGUAAUUCGUAAAUUAGUGAAACAAAAGUACCUGAUAUUUCUCGCGAAGAUGUUGUUAUAUAACUCAGCUGGAGUUCAGGUCGGAGGUGUUCGUACGCUCUAUCAUUCCGCCUUAACCGAGAUUGAUGUUUGGCUAAAUGAGUUAAAUUUAGACGAGAGCUUGAAAAUGAUGGACGGCCUUCUAUAUUGGCACACAUCAGCUGAAGAGUGAAAGCUUAAUCGCGCGCAACAGUUCUGGCGGUCGGCCGAACGAAUUUCGGACGUAACAUGGUGCAUCUUUACAAUCCGUGUUUAUAACCGGACCGGCACACAUCGGUUUCGCAACGAUCGUGAACCUGUCAAUACUUAUCGUGCCCCGUAUUAUCUGGGAUCGAUCGAGCGGCGUUUUUUUUCUCAGGAAGUUACGCGUAACAUCCACAAUGCCUUAAUAUAACUCGAGGUAGCGGAACUUGUUGCUCUCUGAGCAACAUUUGCCGAUGGUGGGAUCUCAUCUUCUACCAAUCCUGGAGCAGAAGAUGCUUGCGGGAAGGUGCGAACGAAUGAGUGGGGGUGGUGAUGCGGUUCCUGGAGGAACUUACAGGGAUCACAGGGGGUCGCAGCGUAUGGAUUCCUGCGCAGUGUGAUCUAGUCUACGAUUGCAUGCAAAGUGGCGAGGAACGCAUUCUUGAUUUCGAGUGAUUUCGAAGAUAAAAAGGGCACAAAGUGUUUUUCGCAUAAUAAAGUUUACAAUUAAAGAUAAAAUUCCGAGCGUUACACAACGCCGAAGUUUGAACACGUUUGCAAUUAGUUGGUGAUAGUCUAAGCAUUCUAGAGUGUGCUGUCCACAUCGGCCAAAAAAUGCCACAAGCUCACGAGACGCAGAACAUUCUGAUGACAUAUUUCAUCCUUAUUCUUCUACUAAUCUCACUUUGGGUGUUAUACUCGGGGGUAUUUUUUUAAACACAGACAUUCCUCAUUAUGGGCUGAAGAGAAGACACAUGUCAAAAGGCAGAUGCACUCAGAGGAUCCAAGAUUGUCAUGGACACCUCGCUUGCAGCUCACCAGUUCUUGUCAUCGUUUAUUAUACUUUAUACAAUCUAGGUGCCUGCAGACAUGCUUUACGUAAAUCGCUUUUGACCGUUUAGUGACCGAUUUCUGCGACGAGAAUUAUUCAACCAUAUGUUUCAGAAAAUAGGAAGAAUUUCUAAAAAUGUAUUCCCCCAUCAUCGUUUCGAUUUCUUGCCGCUUUGUCGCGGAAAUCGGCUAUUUAUUAAAAAUAAUUAUUUAUGUUAUGCUAAUUAUGUUUUCUCAGCUAAUCAGCAAUGGAUACUUUAUUUGAACUCAAAGUAAUAUUUUACAAGCGUUUCUACAAUUCACAUUGUUGUUAUCAUUGAAUUGUGUUCAUUUGAAUUCGCCGAAAUAAAUACAUUAGGUUGUUUCACGUG
rnacentral:lncRNA from 1 species